rnacentral:rRNA from 1 species
GACGAACGCUGGCGGCGUGCUUAACACAUGCAAGUCGAACGGAAAGGCCCUGCUUUUGUGGGGUUCUCGAGUGGCGAACGGGUGAGUAACACGUGAGUAACCUGCCCUUGACUUUGGGAUAACUUCAGGAAACUGGGGCUAAUACCGGAUAGGAGCUCCUGCUGCAUGGUGGGGGUUGGAAAGUUUCGGCGGUUGGGGAUGGACUCGCGGCUUAUCAGCUUGUUGGUGGGGUAGUGGCUUACCAAGGCUUUGACGGGUAGCCGGCCUGAGAGGGUGACCGGCCACAUUGGGACUGAGAUACGGCCCAGACUCCUACGGGAGGCAGCAGUGGAGAAUAGUGCACAAUGAGCGGAAGCCUGAUGCAGCAACGCCGCGUGCGGGAUGACGGCCUUCGGGUUGUAAACCGCUUUCGCCUGUGACGAAGCGUGAGUGACGGUAAUGGGUAAAGAAGCACCGGCUAACUACGUG